UCACCUCCACAGGCUGGCCGGCCCGAGGCUGGGCUGAGCGAGUAUCUCUUCAAAAGGCUCACCCUCUGCAGGACUAGGAGC
rnacentral:pre_miRNA from 1 species